rnacentral:rRNA from 1 species
CCCCCGGGGCGGAGGAACGCCCUUGCAUUUGCAAGGAGGCGUAAAGGUUGGAAGCCACCCGUCUUGAAACACGGACCAAGGAGUCUUACGUCUAUGCGAGUGUUUGGGUGGCAAACCCCCCGCGCAAUGAAAGUGAGCGGAGGUGGGAGACCCUUAGGGUGCAUCAUCGACCGAUCCUGAUGUUUUCGGAUGGAUUUGAGUAAGAGCAUAGCUGUUGGGACCCGAAAGAUGGUGAACUAUGCCUGAAUAGGGUGAAGCCAGAGGAAACUCUGGUGGAGGCUCGCAGCGGUUCUGACGUGCAAAUCGAUCGU